rnacentral:rRNA from 1 species
CCUACGGGAGGCAGCAGUGGGGAAUAUUGGACAAUGGGGGCAACCCUGAUCCAGCCAUGCCGCGUGUGUGAAGAAGGCCCUCGGGUUGUAAAGCACUUUCAGUGAGGAAGAACGCCUGGUGGUUAAUACCCAUCAGGAAAGACAUCACUCACAGAAGAAGCACCGGCUAACUCCGUGCCAGCAGCCGCGGUAAUACGGAGGGUGCGAGCGUUAAUCGGAAUUACUGGGCGUAAAGCGCGCGUAGGUGGCUUGAUAAGCCGGUUGUGAAAGCCCCGGGCUCAACCUGGGAACGGCAUCCGGAACUGUCAAGCUAGAGUGCAGGAGAGGAAGGUAGAAUUCCCGGUGUAGCGGUGAAAUGCGUAGAGAUCGGGAGGAAUACCAGUGGCGAAGGCGGCCUUCUGGACUGACACUGACUCUGAGGUGCGAAAGCGUGGGUAGCAAACAGGAUUAGAUACCCUGGUAGUC